AUACGGAGGGUGCAAGCGUUAAUCGGAAUUACUGGGCGUAAAGCGUACGUAGGCGGUUCGUUAAGUUAGAUGUGAAAGCCCCGGGCUUAACCUGGGAACUGCAUUUAAAACUUGCGAACUAGAGUUGAGUAGAGGGGAGUGGAAUUUCAGGUGUAGCGGUGAAAUGCGUAGAGAUCUGAAGGAACACCAGUGGCGAAGGCGACUCCCUGGACUCGAACUGACGCUGAGGUACGAAAGCGUGGGUAGCAAGCGGGAUUAGAAACCCUAGUAGUCC
rnacentral:rRNA from 1 species